GUGAACCAAACCGUUCCAACUCAAAGUCAACUACCGACUGUACAACUGAAAACUUGUGUUGUUAAGCAAAUAAUUUAAAAAAAAUGAAUAAAGUUCUGUUUCUAACCAUAUUGGUAACAUUGGCGCUUUUCGCAGUUGCGUUACCGAAUGUUGAGGCAUGUCUGGCUAACGGUGCUGUGUGUCAAACUGAUGGAAGUAUUGGAAAUUGCUGCAGUGGAUUCUGCUAUCAAUGGGAAGGAUAUUCACAUGGGUUCUGUCAGUAGAUCGGCGAAUACUGUGUAAAUGUAAAAAGCUUCAUGUACGCAAUGGGUAAAUAAGUCGAGGACACUAUGUUGCUGUUGCUAUCUGCCCGGUGCAUUUUGAUUAAGAUAAAUGAAAUAUUUUGUCCGAAUACGUUACAACAAAAUGACUAAAAAUAAAAUUUCAUUUUAAUGGUAUUGA